GGCAACUUACAGCAGAGGGGUGGUGAACAGCCAAAGAAACCAGGGGUGAAGGCAGCAUCUCUCACUGCAUGGCCCUUUCCAUAAUACGCUUCUGGGUGGAACAUAAAGGCGCUUCCAGAGGUUUGCCUCCUAGUUGGAGCUAGUUGGGGCAGCUUCUCCAGAGACUGAGAGAUGUCACUCUACUGAGUGCAGAGGCAGACUGAACUUGUGGGAGAUAGGAACAGAAUGUUCGAAAGGGAAAACCAGAAGGAAGAGGAGUCUGUGUUUGGGACUCUGGCGGUCACACCUAAUGCAGAAACAGGAAGACACAUGUGCCCUUACGAAACUUCAUUCCUGCAUUUCUUAGAUGGUCUGCUGUUGUACAGAUGGGAAAGCAUGUUUGCACCAAGAAUUUGUGAAUACAUAAACAUAAGCGCACUGAGAUGAGGAUUGUCAC